rnacentral:rRNA from 1 species
UACGUAGGGGGCAAGCGUUGUCCGGAUUUAUUGGGCGUAAAGAGCGUGUAGGCGGCCUGACAGGUCAGCUGUGAAAACUUGAGGCUCAACCUCGAGACGUCGGUUGAAACCAUCUGGCUAGAGUCCGGAAGAGGAGUGUGGAAUUCCACGUGUAGCAGUGAAAUGCGUAGAUAUGUGGAGGAACACCGAUGGCGAAGGCAGCCCCCUGGGUCAAGACUGACGCUCAUGCACGAAAGCGUGGGGAGCAAACAGG